rnacentral:rRNA from 1 species
UACAGAGGGUGCAAGCGUUGUUCGGAAUUAUUGGGCGUAAAGGGCGCGUAGGCGGUGCCACAAGUCACCUGUGAAAUCUCCGGGCUUAACUCGGAGCCUGCAGGCGAAACUGUGGUGCUGGAGUGUGGGAGAGGUGCGUGGAAUUCCCGGUGUAGCGGUGAAAUGCGCAGAUAUCAGGAGGAACACCGGUGGCGAAGGCGGCUUGCUGGGCCAGUUCUGACGCUGAGGAGCGAAAGCGUGGGGAGCGAACAGG